rnacentral:rRNA from 1 species
GGGGUAACCUGCGGAGGGAUCAUUGCUGGAACGCGCCCCAGGCGCACCCAGAAACCCUUUGUGAACUUAUACCUUACUGUUGCCUCGGCGCAUGCCGGCCCCCCUGGGGGCCCCUCUCCUGGAGGAGCAGGCACGCCGGCGGCCAACCCAACUCUUGUUUUUACACUGAAACUCUGAGAAUAAAACAUAAAUGAAUCAAAACUUUCAACAACGGAUCUCUUGGUUCUGGCAUCGAUGAAGAACGCAGCGAAAUGCGAUAAGUAAUGUGAAUUGCAGAAUUCAGUGAAUCAUCGAAUCUUUGAACGCACAUUGCGCCCUCUGGUAUUCCGGAGGGCAUGCCUGUUCGAGCGUCAUUUCAACCCUCAAGCCUGGCUUGGUGAUGGGGCACUGCUUUUACCCAAAAGCAGGCCCUGAAAUUCAGUGGCGAGCUCGCCAGGACCCCGAGCGCAGUAGUUAAACCCUCGCUCUGGAAGGCCCUGGCGGUGCCCUGCCGUUAAACCCCCAACUUCUGAAAAUUUGACCUCGAUCAGUAGGAUUUCCCAGGUAAUU